rnacentral:rRNA from 1 species
CACGUAGGGUGCGAGCGUUGUCCGGAAUUAUUGGGCGUAAAGAGCUCGUAGGCGGUGUGUCGCGUCGGCCGUGAAAACCUGUGGCUUAACUAUGGGCUUGCGGUCGAUACGGGCAGGCUAGAGUUCGGUAGGGGAGACUGGAAUUCCUGGUAUAGCGGUGAAAUGCGCAGAUAUCAGGAGGAACACCGGUGGCGAAGGCGGGUCUCUGGGCCGAUACUGACGCUGAGGAGCGAAAGCGUGGGGAGCAAACAGG